rnacentral:rRNA from 1 species
UACGAAGGGGGCUAGCGUUGUUCGGAAUUACUGGGCGUAAAGGGCGCGUAGGCGGCUGUGCAAGUCAGAUGUGAAAGCCCUGGGCUCAAACCAGGAUGUGCAUUUGAUACUGCGCGGCUAGAGUGUCGGAGAGGAUGGUGGAAUUCCCAGUGUAGAGGUGAAAUUCGUAGAUAUUGGGAAGAACACCGGUGGCGAAGGCGACCAUCUGGACGACAACUGACGCUGAGGCGCGAAAGCGUGGGGAGCAAACAGG